AAUAAUACAUCAAUAUUAGUUUUCUCAUGGUAUCAUUCGGGAAGAAUAAUCACUGAAUUUUUUGGAUCCUAGGUUUUCAUCUCCGUACUUUUCUUUGAUGAAGAAUCAAUUUUUUGUUUCCGCUGCAUCAUCAUCAUCAUCAUCAUCAUCAUCAAAAGUCACAAGAAGAAGAAGAAAAAGAAAAAGAAGAAGAAGAAAUCAAAUUCUGAUAUUGAAGAAGCUUCUAUUUCCACUGCUGUAAUGAUCAGAAAUUUGGGGUUUCUUUGCUACAACGAUGAUGAAUUCCUAUUUGAUAGAGGUAAUUUUUCGUUACCAUUAUAUAUCAGUUGUGAUUUCAAAUUAGGGUUCUUGAAAUUGCUGGUAAUUGAUGGUGUUCUUCACAAAGAUGCAUUCAUCAACUUAAUAUUUCUUUUCAAACCCUGAAAGUUAAAAUCAAAAUCUUUCUCAUAAAAAAAAAUCAUCUUUGUGAAUUCUCUAAUAAGUUUUGACAAUAUCUACAUCAGUUUUGUCUUCCGCUGCUGAAGGAGUUAUUUCUGGGUUUCCAAUUAUUGGGUUUCUCAAGUGUAUUUUCAUGUUGUCCUGCACAAAGACUUUAAGGGUUAUCAAUUUAAAUCUUAUCAGUUCUUCAUUCGAAGAUUGGGUAUCGUAUUCAAUUUGGAAUUUUGGAGAGAAUUACAGGGAAAAAUUCAAUCUGCGGGAGAUUAUGCAUUGUAUGGAUGAGUUACAAAUUUUUUUUGUUUUAUGAAUUGAUUUGUGGUGCAUUUAAGAAUGGCUGGUUAUAUGUCACCUAAAUACAACUUGGUGCUUGAUAGUUAUGAAUCACUUUAUGAAGUUAUAAGACAGAAACGGAUGCACUUGCUAAACCUAAGAAAUUGAUCAAGGAGGUUGUAAUGGCUUUGCAAGAGAGUGCAAUUGUCAGAUUUACUUGUAUCUUUAGCUUCUCCAGCAAGAAGCAGUGAUCUGGUGCUUCUACUUAUUCAACUUGGAUUUGUGCUUAAGGGGUAUGCAUCUGUAUUCGAGUUAUCACUGUUUCGGGUAACUCCUUACUUCCUGUUAUUCAAUUUUUUUGUUCAUUCACAGCACUAUAUCUUUCUCAAUACCUUAGCAUCCUCAAUAUCUUUAACCAUCUUAAUACAUUAACAUUUUUCUAUACCCUACACAGAGAACACCCCUAAAAUCAAGUUGAGUCUCUUAACCAACAGAGAACACCAACAUACCAACUGGUCCUAAAAACUUUUUUAAUACCCAGUUUGGUCCCUUGUUGAUUAAUAUCUUUACAGAUUCUGGUCCUAAAAUCUUUCUUAAAAGCCAGUUUCUAAAUAUCUUUUUUCAACAAUACCUAAUAUCUUUACAGAACUAGUCCUAAAAUGUUUCAAUAACUAGUUUCUAAAUACUUUUUCAAUACCUAUUGUUAGUCUCCUUUGCUGGGAGUUCCUAAUACUGCUGAUAUUUCUACUCAUUGAAUGAGUUUAGCUUGUUCUUUUCAACCAUUACAGUCAGAGUUGAUUGUUCCAGUACUUCAUCAUCAACUACUUCUGUUACUUCAGCUAAGAAUGCUUACUUAUUGCAUGGGAAGUUAUGUUUGAUGUGAAUGGUUUUAUUGUUGGGCUUGUUGUUGUUUAACCAACAGAGAACAACAAAACAAAUAUUGGAAGCUCCAAUUUCUGCUGUUAAUCAACUUGUGUUGUUACUGGUUCUAAUGAUUGAUAAAGAGGUUCAAAAUUACUACUUGUUCAGUUACUAUUGGUUCCACUACUGAAGAUAUUUGUACUACAACAAGGUUUGAUUCAUACUUCUCCUGAUACUUCUGCAGCUUAGUUGUGUGAUAUAUUUUCAAUAACUGCUGGCUUGAUCACACAGACAUGACUGCUUCUUUCAGUUCUUUGAUGUUUACAUGCUUCUAUUACUACUUUCAAGUCUGUGCUGAGCUAGUGUUCUUCUGCAAUUCAGUUUGAGGAGUUGUACUAUUUUUUUUUCUUCAGUUCAAGUCUGUGUUGACUUUUGUUUAUCUCUUCAAACUGUUCCAUACUUUUCCAGUGUCAGUUUGUAACAUUUGAGGGGGUGUAUUAGGAUAGGUCAGUUCAAGUCUGUGUUGACUUGACUAAGGCUGUGUGUCCCAUGUUAUGGGUAUAAAUACCCUUGUCCUAUAAUUUUGUAAGGCACCUGGAAUACUUCUUAAUAAUACAACAAUAUUAGUUUUCUCAUCAUCUAGGAACAAUCUCAUAAACAGAAUUGCAAAAAUGGAUUCAGAUGUUAAAACAAAAUCAGGUGUGCAGUUGUUACCGGUGGAAAUAAAGGAAUUGGAUUUGAGAUUUGUAGACAAUUAGCUUCUAAUGGGGUUUCUGUUGUGUUAACAGUUAGAGAUGUAACUAAGGGCUCAGAAGCUGUUGAAAAGCUCAAAAAUUCUUUUGGACUUUCUAAUGUUGUUUUACAUCAGCUUGAUAUUUUAAAUCCAACCACUUUUUCUUCUCUAGAGGAAUUCAUUUAAAUCCACUUUGGAAAAUUGGAUAUCUUGGUGAAUAAUGCUGGAAUUUCUGGAGCUAUAACUGAUGCUUCUGGAUUUACAGCGCUAGGAAAAGCCCUUGUUGAGAACACAGAGAACCAAAAUUUGAAACAAACGAUAAAGAGACUUAUGAAUCGGCAGAAGAAUGUAUCCGCACAAAUUCCAUUGGAGAACUGAAGAGUAUCUCCAAUGAAAAGGCUUUGGAAAUACUUAGUAGUGAAGACGGUUUAAAAGAAGAAAAUGUAGAUGAGACAGUGAAUAUGUUUCUUAAGGAUUUCAAGGAAGAUUUACUUGAAUCAAAUAGAUGGCCGACAUAUACCCGCCUAUAGGGGUGUAAAUUUUGCCCGGCAGUCCGAGGCCCAGUAGCGUCCGCCCUGUCCCAUGACUGCCCAUGGGUGACCGUGGCCCUUUACGGGCUGGCCCGACCUAGCCCAUUUAAAUAAGAGGGCGGGCACAGGCCACAAUUCAAAUUUUCUUGCCCGGCCCAAUACCCUCCCUAUUAUCCCGUCAAUGCUACCCGCCAUGUUAGCC